ACGGGGGGUGCAAGCGUUGUCCGGAUUUAUUGGGCUUAAAGGGUGCGCAGGCGGCAGAAUAAGUCAGAGGUGAAAUCCCACGGCUUAACUGAAGAAUUGCCAUUGAUACUGUUGCCCUUGAGUGCAGGUGAGGAGAGCGGAAUUCGUGGUGUAGCGGUGAAAUGCGUAGAUAUAACACAGAACACCGAUUGCGAAGGCAGCUCUCUAAACUGCAACUGACGCUCAGGCACGAAAGCGUGGGGAUCAAACAG
rnacentral:rRNA from 1 species